rnacentral:rRNA from 1 species
UACGGGGGGGGCAAGCGUUGUUCGGAUUUACUGGGCGUAAAGGGCGCGUAGGCGGCGUGACAAGUCACUUGUGAAAUCUCCGGGCUUAACCCGGAGCGGUCAAGUGAUACUGUCGUGCUAGAGUGCGGAAGGGGCUACUGGAAUUCUCGGUGUAGCGGUGAAAUGCGUAGAUAUCGAGAGGAACACCUGCGGCGAAGGCGGGUAGCUGGGCCGACACUGACGCUGAUGCGCGAAAGCCAGGGGAGCGAACGGG